rnacentral:rRNA from 1 species
UGCCAGCCGCCGCGGUAAUACGGAGGGUCCAAGCGUUAUCCGGAAUCAUUGGGUUUAAAGGGUCCGUAGGCGGUCUAAUAAGUUAGUGGUAAAAGACUCUGGCUCAACCAGAGCACGCCAUUGAUACUGUUAAGCUAGAGAUUAGUUGCAGCUGGCGGAAUGUGUAGUGUAGCGGUGAAAUGCAUAGAUAUUACACAGAACACCGAUUGCGAAGGCAGCUGGCUAAACUACAUCUGACACUGAUGCACGAAAGCGUGGGGAUCAAACGGGAUUAGAUA